rnacentral:rRNA from 1 species
CCUACGGGCGGCAGCAGUGAGGAAUAUUGGUCAAUGGCCGCAAGGCUGAACCAGCCAAGUCGCGUGAGGGAUGAAGGUCCUAUGGAUUGUAAACCUCUUUUGUCAGGGAGCAAAGGGCGCCACGUGUGGCGUUUUGCGAGUACCUGAAGAAAAAGCAUCGGCUAACCCCGUGCCAGCAGCCGCGGUAAUACGGGGGAUGCGAGCGUUAUCCGGAUUUAUUGGGUUAAAAGGGUGCGCAGGCGGAAUGUCAAGUCAGCGGUAAAAGUUCGGGGCUCAACCCCGUCGUGCCGUUGAAACUGGCGAUCUUGAGUGAGCGAGAAGUAUGCGGAAUGCGUGGUGUAGCGGUGAAAUGCAUAGAUAUCACGCAGAACUCCGAUUGCGAAGGCAGCAUACCGGCGCUCAACUGACGCUCAGGCACGAAAGCGUGGGUAUCGAACAGGAUUAGAUACCCUUGUAGUC